GACCACUGCAACAUGGCAGCAAGAGAAAGUAAGGGAAGGAGAGGCGCUGAGCCUGUAUUCACCUUAAAUCUGCAGCAAAAUUGGUGAUGUAGUUACGCAUGUCACUGUUGAUUUUAUCCAGGCGGUAAGAGCUGUGGGAGUCCCUUGGUCUGAUGAUGGCCCUGACCAGGGCGUCAGGCCGCACCAACUUUUGAGGCGAUGUCUUGGGACUGGAGUCUGAUUCUCCGCUCUCCUCGUCCCCCAUGGCUUUAACGUAGCUGCUGCUCCGCAUCCGACGACAGGGGAUCUCGUCAUCCUUCCCACCGCCAGG